rnacentral:lncRNA from 1 species
GGGGGGGGGGGGCUAGGAUGAAAUUUGAAAAAAAAUAGGCAGGACAGGAGUUUUGAGUAAAAAAAAAGGCAGGAUGUGACACUUGCCAAAAAAAGUCAGGACGACAAUUUAGGUAAAAAAAAGUCAGGAUAAACUAAAAAAAAAAAGGCAGGACCGAUUAGAGUGAAAAAUAAAAAGGCAGGACAGAGAUUACAGCUUUAAAAAAAUGCAGGACAAAUUUUUUCAUCCUAGCCCCCCCCAUAAAAAUCAAAUGGUAGCUCCCUUAG